UAUGCCGCGGGAGCAGCCCAAGAAAUGGCAAAAAAAAAAAAAAAAAAAAAAACAGAAAUUUAAGUUCUGUAACAUCCCUGUUUUAUUCUCCAAUGGUUGCUUGCUGGGAUUGCUGUUUAUUUUAGAAAAUAGUCAUUACUGAAAUUAUACAUAUUGCAAACAUAAAUAAUAGUACUUAUAUGACACUGCUUUGUUAAUGUCUUGUUACUAUAUGGUUCUUUUUAUUAGCAUUUUUAAAAAUGUACUUUCUAUCUCUGAGAAGCUCUCUAAACUCAAUUUUUUAAGGUGACCUCAAGGAAGAUGUGAAAGAAGAUACUUCUACUGGUUGCUUUCCAUGCGAAAGUGUUUUUAUAAUCAGAAAAAUAAAGCUUUUCAUUCUUCUUGUACAAAAAAAUAAAAAAAUAUGAAAAAUGUUCUUAAGAAGGUAUAAAUCACCCUCUACUAAGUCUUGAGAUCAGCCUGGAAUAUGCUCUCAGUUCCCAGUAUGGGAUGGGUCACAAAAAUAAGCUUAUUGAUUGGCCUUUUUCUGUGGUGUGCCUUUAAAUUCCCAAAUUUCAGGGACACUCACCUUUAAAUAAAAAUUGAAAAGCACAUUCCUAAGUCAAAUAGAAAUUAUCCAGGUUAUUGAUCAUUUAAGGUUAUGUAUAUAUAUGUUCUUCAGUUAGCAUGAAUAAUUUAGAACGGACUGGUUUCAAAUAAAGGGAAGAUACAAUUACCUGUUAGUCUAUUAAGCCUUAUUUAUUUUGUGAUGUUAAUCAGGAAUCAAGAAAUUGCUUUGCAAGAAUAGCUUAUGUUUUAUAUAAUUUACCUGUGAUGUAUAAUUUGUUUUCUCUCAAAUAUAGAUUUUUCUUUUAAUUUAUCUCCUUACAGGAUUUAGAAUAAGGCAACAAUGAAAAUCAUUUAAGACAUAUAGUUAAAAAUAACAGACAUGAUAGAAAUGUUUUUCUUAAAUUGCAGCCAAAAUUAUCUUUUUCCUGUCCUUCCCCUCUUUACAACCUUUUCAUGGCUUUUCAUUGCCUUUAACCUUCAGAUUUCACUUUAACAUCUCUUUUGUUCAAUCAGACUUGGUUUUAACCCUCUAGACCAGACCAUGUGGCUUGUGAUUCCUCUAAUGUAGGAUUUACUACAUUGUGUUGUGGUUGGUUGAUUGGUGUUCUGUCUCAUGUGCUUGAUCCUGUCAUCUGAUGAUGGAACCAUGUGUGUUUUCCUCACCAUUGCGUUCCCAGCCUAGGGUGUAGUAUCUGGUCUCAUUAAAUAUUUGAUGAAUAACUGGAUAUAUGAAAGGAAAGUUACAGGGAACGUUGAAAACAGGAAAGUAUUCAUUCGGAUUUUGCAAUAAAGAUGUACAUGAUCUUAAUGCACAAUAAUAAUUUGCAACACCACAAUAUUGCAAUUACAAUACCAGAGUUUGUAUAACAGGAAAGAUGCUGGUAUCCUAUGAAAAAGUGAAAUGUAGAGUUCCCGUAGUGGCUCAGUGGUUAACGAAUCUGAGUAGGAACCAUGAGGUUGCAGGUUCGAUCCCUGGCCUUGCUCAGUGGGUUAAGGAUCCACUGUUGCCGUGGUGUAGGUUGCAGACGUGGCUCGGAUCCCAUGUAGCUGUGGCUCUGGCGUAGGCCUGGGGCUACAGCUCCGAUUAGACCCCUAGCCUGGGAACCUCCAUAUGCCGAGGGA
rnacentral:lncRNA from 1 species